CAGUGUUUGUUUUUGUGUUGUCAGUGCAGAGCCAUUUUUAGAUACUUUGUAUACUACUAGGUAAAUUAGUAGUAUAGUACUGCAUCAUGUCAUUGAAGCAUAACAAAAGAACUAUGUGUCAAAUGUGUCAAAUAAAUGGAGUGGAGUAAAAAGUACAA